AAUAGAUACCCGGGUAGUCCAUGCCGUAAACGUUGGGAACUAGAUGUAGGGACCAUUCCACGGUUUCUGUGUCGCAGCUAACGCAUUAAGUUCCCCGCCUGGGGAGUACGGCCGCAAGGCUAAAACUCAAAGGAAUUGACGGGGGCCCGCACAAGCGGCGGAGCAUGCGGAUUAAUUCGAGGCAACGCGAAGAACCUUACCAAGGCUUGACAUAUACGAGAACGCCCUAGAAAUAGGGAACUCUUUGGACACUCGUAUACAGGUGGUGCAUGGUUGUCGUCAGCUCGUGUCGUGAGAUGUUGGGUUAAGUCCCGCAACGAGCGCAACCCUCGUUCUAUGUUACCAGCACGUCAUGGUGGGAACUCAUAGGAGACCGCCGGGUCAACUCGGAGGAAGUGGGAUGACGUCAAAGUCAUCAUGCCCCUUAUGUCUUGGGCUUCACACAUGCUACAAUGGCCGUACAAAGGGCUGCAAUACCGCAAGGUGGAGCGAAAUCCCAAAAAAGCCGGUCUCAGUUCGGAUUGAGGUCUGCAACUCGA
rnacentral:rRNA from 1 species